rnacentral:rRNA from 1 species
ACGUACACUCCUACGGGAGGCAGCAGUGGGGAAUAUUGGACAAUGGGCGCAGGCCUGAUCCAGCCAUGCCGCGUGAGUGAUGAAGGCCCUAGGGUUGUAAAGCUCUUUCACCGGUGAAGAUAAUGACGGUAACCGGAGAAGAAGCCCCGGCUAACUUCGUGCCAGCAGCCGCGGUAAUACGAAGGGGGCUAGCGUUGUUCGGAUUUACUGGGCGUAAAGCGCACGUAGGCGGACUAUUAAGUCAGGGGUGAAAUCCCGGGGCUCAACCCCGGAACUGCCUUUGAUACUGGUAGUCUUGAGUUCGAGAGAGGUGAGUGGAAUUCCGAGUGUAGAGGUGAAAUUCGUAGAUAUUCGGAGGAACACCAGUGGCGAAGGCGGCUCACUGGCUCGAUACUGACGCUGAGGUGCGAAAGCGUGGGGAGCAAACAGGAUUAGAUACCCCGGUAGUCCCAUG